GUGUGUGUGUGUGUGUGUGUGUGUGUGUGUGUGUGUGUGUGUGUGUGUGUGUGAGUGUGUGUGUGUGUGUGUGUGUGUGUGUGUGUGUGUGUGUGACUGUGUCACUGCAUCAUCAUGCAGUUUCAGGUUCAGUGCUCGAGUCAUCUGGACUCUUAAUUAAAACCCACAGCCAA